rnacentral:tRNA from 1 species
GGGUCCUUAGCUCAAUUGGUUAGAGCUGCCGGCUCAUACCCGGUCGGUUGCAGGUUCGAGUCCUGCAGGACCCA